rnacentral:tRNA from 1 species
ACAGUUAUGACUCAGUGGUAGAGUACAUGCUUAGCAUGCAUGAGGUCUUGGGUUCAAUCCCCAGUACCUCCA